UUCCUUCCACAGACUGGCUGUGGUUCAUUCGGGGCUCCACCAUUGGAUGGUAGCCCUUGUUGACCCUCAGGGGAGGGAGGCGCCAGUGACGUCAGACCAGUCCCCACCGCCAACCUGCGUGUGGUCCCCGAGCUAAGAACACGUUUUACAUUGUUUUAAGUAGCUGGGGGAAAAUUUUUUUAAAUUACGUGAUCCAUGAAAAUGGUAUGAAAUUCAAAUUUCACCUUCCGUAAAUAAGGUAUUAUACCUCAGGCACACCUGUGCAAGGACCUACCGUCCAUGAGAGUUUCCCCGAGGCAGUGACAGAGCUCAGUACGACAGAGGCUGGUGCUCGACAGGGACUUCUUGCUGACUGCCACCAUAGUCCGUGGGCUUUGUUUGCAGAGUCAACCUUGGGUCGAAAUGAGGAUUUCGUCUAUGUGGUUAGUAAACAGCCCUCAAGGUCUUUGCUUCCUGCAAUUCUCAGUAACUUUCAGUUGUUCGGCUGUCCACGCGCACACGUAUGCUCAUGUACCCAGACCACAGGCGGGUGAGAAAAAACCCAGAGGCUGGAUUUGGAGUCUUCAACCUUUCUCCUCCCCUAUUCUGUUAACGGGCUUCAGACCUGUUUCACAUGUUUGAAAAUAUGGGGACUUCACUCUUCAAGAACUCGAGGUAGAAGUUAAUUAUGAAAGAAACGCAUUUCCAGCGUGCUAAUUUGUAUUCUUGGAACAUUCUGGAACUCAAGCAGGUUGUUGAGCUGUAACUGGGAUGCAACACUGUGGCAAGUUUAAGUGAUCUGUAGCUCACAUGCUGAUUAUCCUGCCAGGUGAUUACCACCUCAGCUCCUGCUAGCACCUCUGACGCAUCACCUCAUUACCAUCUCUUGUUUUGGUAGGAACAUUUAAGAUCCAUUCCCUUAGCAACUUUCAGAUAUGCAGCACAGUAUUAUUAGCUGUAGUCACCAAGCUGCACAUCACACCCCAGGACAUUUUAUCUUCUACCUGGAAGCUUAUGCCCUUUGACGACCUUCCCCCAUUCCGCCCACCCACACCCGGGCCUACUCCUUCCUGAGUGGCAGUAGCCGGGACUGGAGGCUUCCUUGCUGGUAUCACAGGUCCACCUGACCUGAUGGCCAGAGCCCGUGUGUGGCACUCGAGAACUGCGGCUCAGGAACGGGGCUGCACCUGCCAACCGCCUCCUCCCGGAGCAGAGCUGACCUCGCCUCCCGGAGCCAAGGUGCAGAGUAGGGCGAUGGGGUGGGGUUGCGCCGGACGCCCACUUCUGGCUCCAGGCCUGACCGAGGGGCCAGGAGCAGGUGCCCUGCCCUCCUGCAUGCUUCCCCACCGAGGCUCCCUCCUGCCCAGGUCCUUGUUCUGUCCACUGUCGCGCCGCGGACGUGCUGUUGUGUCAGUGUCACCUGCCGCGUGUGCCAUAAACCCCUCGGCUGCCUCCGGGCGAGAUGCGCAUGGCAUGGCCCCUGCACAAGUGCUAAGGGCAGUGAGGCCUGGGCCCCUGGGCUGAAGAGAACAAUCUAGAACACAGGGUGCUGAAGCCAACUUGUGCCUUUUGACAAAAACUCGCCCGGGCCAGGUAUUGGUUUCCUGUGGCUGCUUGUAAGGAAGUACCACAAACGAGGCAGCUUAGAAAUGAAUUCUCUCGUGGUCUGGAGGCCAGAAGCCUGAAGCCAAGGCGUCGGUGGGGCUGCUUUCUUCCACAAACUCCGCAGAAGAACCCGCCCCCUGUGCCGGGCUGUGGGCCGUGCGUGGCGCUCCUCAAGUGUAGACGCACCAGCACUCCUCCUGCCUCCUCCCAUGGCCGCCUUUCUCUGCAUCCCUGACUUCUCGUCUUGUAAGCACCCAGGCAGUUUGGACCAGGGCCCACCCGGAUGACCCGUCUUAACUCAGUGACACCUGCCAAGACCUUAUUUCCAGAUAAGGUCACGUUCGCAGUUCUGGAAGUAGGACUUCAACCGAUCUUUUGGGGGACACAGUUCAACCCAUAACAGACCAGUAAAUAAGCUAGCUUCUUUCUCCCCUCCAUCUUCUGUCUUGUGGAUGUGUCUUCUCAGGACUGAAACCUGAAGGGCCAGGCCCCCGCUCGGAGCCAGAUGGCUUUUCUGUGGUUUAUCACGAAAACCCAAACACGACCCAACGUGUCGCUUCAGUGUGAGAAUGUGUUCCAAAUCUCAAGGUGGUAGCGUGUAGACCAAGCUGGAGAACGAGCCCUCCCCAGCCUGCCCGCUGCAGGAUGUUGGGGUGACCCGUAUGGUAUUCUGGGGGCUGGGGUCAGACUGGGUGACCAGCAGGAAGGGUCCACCUCAGACGACCGACCAGGGAACUGACGCGGUUGGCACAGGGUGUCAGAGGCGAGCCUGGCAGAGAUCUUGGGACCAGGAGGCCACAUCGGGGGCUGAGGCAU